rnacentral:lncRNA from 1 species
CGGGAGGAGCUAUGGGGCUGGGGGCGGGUCUAUGGGGCCGGGGGCGGGUCCACGGGGCAGCCGUGGGUCACGCGUCCCCCCCCGCCCCACGGCAGGCCCAGGCGGAGCUGUGGGAGCCGCUGUGGUCCCUGCUGAGCGACCUGCGCUUCCUGGGGGCCCACGUGCGCUGGGGGGCCCUGGAGGUCCUGCCCCACAGCCUGGGGCUGCUGCGCGAGGCGCAGCAGCGGGGGGCCGUGGCCGCCGUGGGGCUGGAGGAGGUGGCCGCCGUGGUGGAGGCCACCCUGGAGCUGGCCCAGCAGGAGCUCUAUGCCGUGGGGCAGCGGGAGGAAGCCAACGCGGGGCAGGAAGAAGCCGCCGUGGGGCAGGAGGAGCUCGCCGUGGGGCAGGAGGACCUCACCAUGGGGCAGGAAGACCUUGCCAUGGGGCAGGAGGACCUCGCUGUGGGGCAGGAGGACCUCACCAUGGGGCAGGAGGACCUUGCCAUGGGGCAGGAGGACCUUGCCGUGGGGCAGGACCUCACCAUGGGGCAGGAGGACCUCACCAUGGGGCAGGAAGACCUUGCCAUGGGGCAGGAGGACCUCGCUGUGGGGCAGGAGGACCUCGCCGUGGGGUGGGAGGACCCCGCCGUGGGGCUGCUGGUGGGGCUGGCGCAGGAGGCAGCCAACGCCCCCCCUUCCUGCCCCCUACGCGCCCAAGUCCGGGACCUGCUGCCCCCCGGCCACCGGCUGCUGCUCCGCCCCCUGCCGGAUCCCGGCACCCGCCCCCCGGACAGGUGGGUGCUGCCCCAUAGCGGCCCCGGAGCACCCAUGGGUGUCUUCCCCGGACGCCUGGGCCCCUUUUCCCGGACACCUGGGCCCCUUCCCGGACACCUGGGCCCCUUUUCCCAGACGCCUGGGCCCCUUCCCGGACGCCUGGGCCCCUUUUUCCCGGACUCCUGGGCCCCUUCCCAGACUCCUGGGCCCUUUUCCCGGACGCCUGGGCCCCUUCUUUCCCCCCGGACGCCUGGGCCCCUUCCCAGACACCUGGGUCCCUUCCCGGACGCCUGGGCCCUUUUCCCGGACACCUGGGCCCCUUCCCGGACGCCUGGGCCCCUUUUCCCGGACACCCGGGCCCCUUUCCCAGACACCUGGGCCCCUUUUCCCGGACUCCUGGGCCCCUUCCCGGACACCUGGGCCCCUUUUCCCGGACGCCUGGGCCCUUUUUCCCGGACACCUGGGCCCCUU